rnacentral:rRNA from 1 species
UACGUAGGGCGCAAGCGUUGUCCGGAAUCAUUGGGCGUAAAGAGCUCGUAGGCGGCCUGUUGCGUCCGCUGUGAAAUCCCGGGGCUUAACCCCGGGCGUGCAGUGGAUACGGGCUGGCUGGAGGCAGGCAGGGGAGAACGGAAUUCCCGGUGUGAGCGGUGAAAUGCGCAGAUAUCGGGAGGAACACCGGUGGCGAAGGCGGUUCUCUGGGCCUGUACUGACGCUGAGGUGCGAAAGCGUGGGGAGCAAACAGG